AGGUCCAUCCUAACCCCUGCUAGUCAGCCUGUGGCCCAUCAAGGGUCUCUUGUGGACCAGAGCACCUUAGAAUCUUUGCUUGUAGCAGUGAGCACAGCUUCAGUGGGCUCAUGCCGGGGUGUUUCUAGACACUU
rfam:Pteropus alecto contig99431, whole genome shotgun sequence.